GGCACAGAGAAAGAGAGAGAGAAUGAAUCAAGAGGAGGAGAAUCCCAAAGCAAGAGAAUGAAAACAUGAAACAAAGGACACCCAGAUGCAGGGCCUCACAGUGAGAGGCCAAAUGGGGAGAGAUCCAGAGAUGUGGCUCAGAAGACUUGGAAGCCCAAGGGAUCUGCUCCCACUGACUGACCUGCUCACAGUGAGAGGCUAGAGGGCACAGAUGAGAAAACUGAGGCCCCGCGCUGGGGUUUCCAGAGCCCGGGAUUUCCCAGCCCUCCCACUCCCAGCCUCCAGCCACUCCCGCCCCUCUUGCCCAGCACGGUCUGCGGCAGCUCCGCGGGGUCGCCGGCGAGGGCCGGCUGGGACUCCCGGGGGACCCCGCCGUCGGAGCAGCCCCCGGCGCUCGGCGCCGCCCCGCCUCGCCGCCGUGCACUC
ensembl:lncRNA